GCCUGGGUGGCUCAGUCAGUUAAGCGUCUGCCUUCAGCUCAGAUCCUGGGGUCGUGGGAUAGAGUCCCGCAUCAGGCU
rnacentral:tRNA from 1 species